rnacentral:rRNA from 1 species
GGGGAAUCUUGCGCAAUGGGCGAAAGCCUGACGCAGCAACGCCGCGUGCGGGAUGACGGCCUUCGGGUUGUAAACCGCUUUCAGCAGGGACGAAAUUGACGGUACCUGCAGAAGAAGCCCCGGCCAACUACGUGCCAGCAGCCGCGGUAACACGUAGGGGGCGAGCGUUGUCCGGAUUUAUUGGGCGUAAAGAGCUCGUAGGCGGCCUUGUCAGUCGGGUGUGAAACCUCCAGGCUCAACCUGGAGCCGCCACCCGAUACUGCAAUAGCUAGAGUCCGGUAGGGGAGCAUGGAACUCCUGGUGUAGCGGUGAAAUGCGCAGAUAUCAGGAAGAACACCAGUGGCGAAGGCGGUGCUCUGGGCCGGAACUGACGCUGAGGAGCGAAAGCGUGGGGAGCAAAC